rnacentral:lncRNA from 1 species
AUAUUUUUUUUCAUUCAACAUUUGCCAGAUUUUCUUUCCAUUUAUAACAAUUCCAUCCGCAGGAGUCUCCUGGUUUGGAAUGUUUGCCUUGCUUUGAUAAUCUAUCCUGAAAAAAAGAAUUGAAAAACAUGGGGUGAAGGGAUCUUCCGCUAGAAAAUUAACUAUUUGAACUCUUACAGGAGUUGAAAUGCCAUUGAUGCUCUGGAAAAAUGAUCGUGAAAUUCUGAUGGAAGGAAUUGAUGGACAGGCAGUAUUCUACAACUUCAUCACAAAAGAAAUCAAGAAUCUUCAAAUUUAUGGGG